rnacentral:rRNA from 1 species
AAUGAACGCUGGCGGCAGGCCUAACACAUGCAAGUCGAACGAGUGGCGGACGGGUGAGUAAUGUCUGGGAAACUGCCUGAUGGAGGGGGAUAACUACUGGAAACGGUAGCUAAUACCGCUUACCAUCGGUUGUGCCCAGAGGGGAUUAGCGAGUAGGUGGGGGAAAGGCUCACCAUGGCGACGAUCCCUAGCGGGUCUGAGAGGAUGACCGGCCACACUGGAACUGAGACACGGCCCAGACUCCUACGGGAGGCAGCAGUGGGGAAUAUUUCACAAUGGGCGCAAGCCUGAUGCAGCCAUGCCGCGUGUGUGAAGAAGGCCUUCGGGUCGUAAAGUUCUUUCGUCGGAGAAGCGUUACCCAAAGAGAAAGCACCGGCUAACUCCGUGCCAGCAGCCGCGGUAAUUC